GACGACGAUUUGUGACACC
rnacentral:siRNA from 1 species